rnacentral:lncRNA from 1 species
UGGGAGUGCUGCAUGUAGGGAAUACAGAGAUUGAGGCAGCAACAUUCAGGCAAGUGACUACAGUCUAAAUUAAGGUAAGAUCAGGUUUCAAUCAGGUACAGAUAUGAUUUCUUUUUUUUUUUUUAAAAGAAGCCACCUAUCCUCCUUCCAAAGAGCAGAGAUAGGCACCAGACAGGGUCUUUCUGGAAACAUUUAUAUCGGAAGGGCAAUGAGCCCUUUAAAUGGAGC